ACGUACAGUAUAACCAUCUGAUACUAGCCCAGAGUUAAGCAUAUUCAGCAUGUCAUCGGCACCAAAACGCAAAGGUGGCAGGGAGAAAAAAAAAGAUGUCUGGAGGAAGGUGCAUCAAAAUAUGCAAAAAUCUCUGAUUUAUUUGGGAAACCACCGACUGUUGACAGUGAUAAGAAGUCCGCCCCUGGUAAGGGGGUCCUGCCUCUCUAUUUCAAGCACAGCAACAUGACCAGCUUCGUGAGACAACUCAACAUGUAUGGACUCCAGAGACAGUGUGUACUCCAACAGAGUGAUCCUAUCAGAGAUCUCCCACCUGUUGCAGCCAGACUCCAAACUCAACAGGUAGAGCCCCCUUCAGUACAGUAGCACUGCUUCAGCCAAACCUUUCUCAUGAAGACUGUAACCCCACCCUCUCUCAUUCUGGUGUGUGUGUGUGUUUGUGUGUGUGUGUGUGGGCAUGUGUGUGUGUAUUUGUGUGUGUGUGUGUGUCUCUGUGUGUGUGUGUGUGUGUGUGUGUGUAUCUGUGUAGUCUCUCUGUGUGUUUAGAGAUUCCCUCUGCGUCUUCCAGUG
rnacentral:lncRNA from 1 species